rnacentral:rRNA from 1 species
AACGCGAAGAACCUUACCUGGCCUUGACAUGUCCGGAAUCCUGCAGAGAUGCGGGAGUGCCUUCGGGAAUCAGAACACAGGUGCUGCAUGGCUGUCGUCAGCUCGUGUCGUGAGAUGUUGGGUUAAGUCCCGCAACGAGCGCAACCCUUAUCAUCAGUUGCCAUCAUUAAGUUGGGCACUCUGAUGAAACUGCCGGUGUCAAACCGGAGGAAGGUGGGGAUGACGUCAAGUCCUCAUGGCCCUUAUGUCCAGGGCUACACACGUGCUACAAUGGCCGGUACAAAGAGUCGCAAUGCCGCGAGGUGGAGCUAAUCCCAGAAAACCGAUCGUAGUCCGGAUC